rnacentral:rRNA from 1 species
UACGGAGGGUGCAAGCGUUGUCCGGAUUUAUUGGGGUUAAAGGGUGCGUAGGCGGCCCUGUAAGUCAGUGGUGAAAUUCUUGAGCUUAACUGAAGGAUUGCCAUUGAUACUGUAGGGCUUGAGUACAGAUGAGGUAGGCGGAAUUGAUGGUGUAGCGGUGAAAUGCAUAGAUACCAUCAAGAACACCGAUUGCGAAGGCAGCUUACUAAGCUGUAACUGACGCUGAUGCACGAAAGCGUGGGGAUCGAACAGG